rnacentral:ncRNA from 1 species
ACUACUAGACACGGGAGUCCCGGGUAGCACCACCACCUGCGGGGCUGAGAGUGGGCACAGCCAGUGGGACUGGACCUGCCCUUACCGUCACACCUGAUCCGGAUCAUGCCGGCGAAGGGAGGACAGGGAUGCCGACGG